rnacentral:rRNA from 1 species
CCUACGGGAGACAGCAGUGAGGAAUAUUGGUCAAUGGACGAGAGUCUGAACCAGCCAAGUAGCGUGAAGGAUGACUGCCCUAUGGGUUGUAAACUUCUUUUAUCUGGGAGUAAAGUGUUCCACGUGUGGGAUUUUGUAUGUACCAUAUGAAUAAGGAUCGGCUAACUCCGUGCCAGCAGCCGCGGUAAUACGGAGGAUCCGAGCGUUAUCCGGAUUUAUUGGGUUUAAAGGGAGCGUAGGUGGAUUGUUAAGUCAGUUGUGAAAGUUUGCGGGUCAACCGUAAAAUUGCAGUUGAAACUGGCAGUCUUGAGUACAGUAGAGGUGGGCGGAAUUCGUGGUGUAGCGGUGAAAUGCUUAGAUAUCACGAAGAACUCCGAUUGCGAAGGCAGUUCACUGGACUGCAACUGACACUGAGGCUCGAAAGUGUGGGUAUCAAACAGGAUUAGAUACCCGGGUAGUC